AAGCUAAAUUGCUCUGUCCAGGAUCCCCACGGGGUGGAGAUUUCCCCCUUAAGUUCCUAGGAAAGAAGACCAUCAGGAAAUUAUUUAUGGAAACAGAUUUUUAUCUAUUUAUAUCCUGACUGAUCUUUAAAAUAGUAGAAACCACAGGCUAUUUUGUAGAUUCCCAGAGAACACGUUAUUUUCUGUGUCUGGUUCGCUGUAUUGCUGCCAAUUGUCAUUUACGAAAGGAGAGGGUAGACUGAGCAACACGUAUCCUGCCUUUUAAAGUGGUGCUUAUGUCUUAUUUCCGAAAAUAACUUAAUGCAGUCUGUUAAUCAAGAUUCGCUGAUAUCGCAACAGUCUACCAUAAACAUUAUUUUAGCCAGGAAAAACACUUAAGAAAGGAAAUGUUAUGAAUUUAAAGACAGCUCCAAGAUGUUUAAUAGACUUCCCAGCAAUAGUAAUUUCCAAAGUGCAUGGACAGACCACACUUUUCAACGUGCAUAUCCCAUCAACAUGGCUGUCCCUGGAAUUCUGUCCAGAGAGAUAAUUUUUCAGAAAAAGGCAAAGAGCAAUCGACAGGUUUCCAUGAUCGACGGAGUGUUGACAAGAAGCCUCCAUGAAUUCAAAUAGACACGACCACAUUUGAAAAUCUUAAGACAUUGUUUAAUUGGUAGUUUCAAUACAUGUUAGAGCUGCACUUUAAAAAUUACAAAGACAUCACCUGAAGUUAUUAUUAAA